UUGAACGCUGGCGGCAGGCUUAACACAUGCAAGUCGAACGAUGAUUAUCUAGCUUGCUAGAUAUGAUUAGUGGCGGACGGGUGAGUAACAUUUAGGAAUCUGCCUAGUAGUGGGGGAUAGCUCGGGGAAACUCGAAUUAAUACCGCAUACGACCUACGGGUGAAAGGGGGCGCAAGCUCUUGCUAUUAGAUGAGCCUAAAUCAGAUUAGCUAGUUGGUGGGGUAAAGGCCACCAAGGCGACGAUCUGUAACUGGUCUGAGAGGAUGAUCAGUCACACCGGAACUGAGACACGGUCCGGACUCCUACGGGAGGCAGCAGUGGGGAAUAUUGGACAAUGGGGGCAACCCUGAUCCAGCCAUGCCGCGUGUGUGAAGAAGGCCUUUUGGUUGUAAAGCACUUUAAGCAGGGAGGAGAGGCUAAUGGUUAAUACCCAUUAGAUUAGACGUUACCUGCAGAAUAAGCACCGGCUAACUCUGUGCCAGCAGCCGCGGUAAUACAGAGGGUGCGAGCGUUAAUCGGAAUUACUGGGCGUAAAGCGAGUGUAGGUGGCUCAUUAAGUCACAUGUGAAAUCCCCGGGCUUAACCUGGGAACUGCAUGUGAUACUGGUGGUGCUAGAAUAUGUGAGAGGGAAGUAGAAUUCCAGGUGUAGCGGUGAAAUGCGUAGAGAUCUGGAGGAAUACCGAUGGCGAAGGCAGCUUCCUGGCAUAAUAUUGACACUGAGAUUCGAAAGCGUGGGUAGCAAACAGGAUUAGAUACCCUGGUAGUCCACGCCGUAAACGAUGUCUACUAGCCGUUGGGGUCCUUGAGACUUUAGUGGCGCAGUUAACGCGAUAAGUAGACCGCCUGGGGAGUACGGCCGCAAGGUUAAAACUCAAAUGAAUUGACGGGGGCCCGCACAAGCGGUGGAGCAUGUGGUUUAAUUCGAUGCAACGCGAAGAACCUUACCUGGUCUUGACAUAGUGAGAAUCCUGCAGAGAUGCGRGAGUGCCUUCGGGAAUUCACAUACAGGUGCUGCAUGGCUGUCGUCAGCUCGUGUCGUGAGAUGUUGGGUUAAGUCCCGCAACGAGCGCAACCCUUUUCCUUAUUUGCCAGCGGGUUAAGCCGGGAACUUUAAGGAUACUGCCAGUGACAAACUGGAGGAAGGCGGGGACGACGUCAAGUCAUCAUGGCCCUUACGACCAGGGCUACACACGUGCUACAAUGGUAGGUACAGAGGGUUGCUACACAGCGAUGUGAUGCUAAUCUCAAAAAGCCUAUCGUAGUCCGGAUUGGAGUCUGCAACUCGACUCCAUGAAGUCGGAAUCGCUAGUAAUCGCAGAUCAGAAUGCUGCGGUGAAUACGUUCCCGGGCCUUGCACACCCCGCCCCGUCACA
rnacentral:rRNA from 1 species